rnacentral:rRNA from 1 species
GAUGAACGCUGGCGGCGCGCCUAAUACAUGCAAGUAGAACGCUGAAGGAAGGAGCUUGCUCUUUCCGGAUGAGUUGCGAACGGGUGAGUAACGCGUAGGUAACCUGCCUGGUAGCGGGGGAUAACUAUUGGAAACGAUAGCUAAUACCGCAUAACAGUAGAUGUUGCAUGAUAUCUACUUAAAAGGUGCAAUUGCACCACUACCAGAUGGACCUGCGUUGUAUUAGCUAGUUGGUGAGGUAACGGCUCACCAAGGCGACGAUACAUAGCCGACCUGAGAGGGUGAUCGGCCACACUGGGAAUGAGACACGGCCCAGACUCCUACGGGAGGCAGCAGUAGGGAAUCUUCGGGAAUGGACGGAAGUCUGACCGAGCAACGCCGCGGGAGUGAAGAAGGUUUUCGGAUCGUAAAGCUCUGUUGUAAGAGAAGAACGAGUGUGAGAGUGGAAAGUUCACACUGUGACGGUAUCUUACCAGAAAGGGACGGCUAACUACGUG